rnacentral:rRNA from 1 species
UCAAGCUACUAAGGGCAUACGGUGGAUGCCUAGGCGCCAAGAGCCGAAGAAGGACGCGGUAAGCUGCGAAAAGCCACGGGGAACUGCAAGCAAGUAUUGAUCCGUGGAUAUCCGAAUGGGGAAACCCGGCCAUCGUCAUGGAUGGUCACCCGCAAGGGAGGGAACCUGGGGAACUGAAACAUCUAAGUACCCGGAGGAAGAGAAAUCAAACGAGAUGCCCACAGUAGCGGCGAGCGAAGAGGGCAGAGCCCAAACCGAGAAGCUCCGGCUUUUCGGGGUUGAGGACCGGCAGAAUCGAAGUCAGGCCUAGUCGAAUUACCUGGAAAGGUAAGCGAGAGAGGGUAAAAGCCCCGUAGACGAAAGGCAGAGCAGAGAGGCCGAGAUCCAGAGUACCACGAAGCACGAGGAAUUUUGUGGGAAGCAGGGGGGACCACCCUCCAAGGCUAAAAACUACUUGGCGACCGAUAGCGCAUAGUACCGUGAGGGAAAGGUGAAAAGAACCCCGGGAGGGGAGUGAAAUAGAACCUGAAACCGUGUGCCUACAACCGGUCAAAGCCCCUUAUGAGGGUGAUGACGUGCUUUUUGUAGAACGAGCCAACGAGUUACGGUAUGUAGCAAGGUUAAGUACUUAAGGUACGGAGCCGAAGGGAAACCGAGUCUUAAUAGGGCGACUAGUUGCAUGCCGUAGACCCGAAACCGGGUGACCUAUCCAUGGCCAGGUUGAAGCGAGGGUAAAACUUCGUGGAGGACCGAACCACGUUGCUGUUGAAAAAGCAUGGGAUGAGCUGUGGAUAGCGGAGAAAUUCCAAUCGAACUCGGAGAUAGCUGGUUCUCCCCGAAAUAGCUUUAGGGCUAGCGUUAUCUUAGAUUACCGGAGGUAAAGCACUGAAUGGGCUAGGGGGCGAUAAGCUUACUGAACCCUAUCAAACUCUGAAUGCCGGAUAAUUGAUGGAUAGCAGUCAGACAGUGUGAGAUAAGUUUCAUUGUCAAAAGGGAAACAGCCCAGACCCACAGCUAAGGUCCCAAAGUACAGUUAAGUGGUGAAGGAUGUGGAAUUGCAUAGACAACCAGGAUGUUGGCUUAGAAGCAGCCACUCAUUAAAAGAGUGCGUAAUAGCUCACUGGUCGAGUGACUCUGCGCCGAAAAUUCAACGGGGCUAAAAUUCAUACCGAAGCUUGGGCUUGACAGUAAUGUCAGGGGUAGGGGAGCGUCGUAUACGAGGUGAAGUCAUAGCGGAAGCGGUGGUGGAUUGUAUACGAGUGAGAAUGCCGGAAUGAGUAGCGAGAAUUAUGUGAGAAUCAUAAUGGCCGAAAGACUAAGGUUUUAGAAGGAAGGUUCGUCCGCUUCUAGUCAGCCGGGAGCUAAGGCGAGGCCGAAAGGCGUAGUCGAUGCACAUACGGUGGAGAUUCCGUAGCCGCCAUUAAUUUAAACAGAGGGACACUUUCAAGGGGCAUGACCCGGGCGUUGGUAGACCCGGGCGUAAGGGACCGAAAAUUAGUAGGGAAGCAUGCUUUAAGGAAGGCGAGAAAAGCUCUGUGUAUAGAAGAUGGCGCCCGUACCGCAAACCGACACAGGUAGUCAGGAAGAGAAUUCUAAGGCCAACGGGAGAAGGGUAGUUAAGGAACUCGGCAAAUUGACCCCGUAACUUCGGAAUAAGGGGUGCUCACGAGAGUGAGCCGCAGUGAAUAGGUCCAGGCGACUGUUUAUCAAAAACACAGCUCUCUGCUAAAUCGAAAGAUGACGUAUAGGGGGUGACACCUGCCCGGUGCUGGAAGGUUAAGAGGAAGGGUGCAAGCUCUGAAUUGAAGCCCCAGUAAACGGCGGCCGUAACUAUAACGGUCCUAAGGUAGCGAAAUUCCUUGUCGGGUAAGUUCCGACCCGCACGAAAGGUGUAACGAUUUGGGCACUGUCUCAACGAGGGACCCGGUGAAAUUGAAAUACCUGUGAAGAUGCAGGUUACCCGCGACUGGACAGAAAGACCCCAUGGAGCUUUACUGUAACCUGACAUUGGGUUUUGAUACAUUACGUACAGGAUAGGUGGGAGGCUUGGAAAGUUGGACGCUAGUCUGGCUGGAGCCGACGUUGGGAUACCACCCUUGAUGUAUUGAAAUUCUAACCGCGAGAGUAACGAAAUCCGGGACAGUGUCAGGCGGGCAGUUUGACUGGGGCGGUCGCCUCCGAAAGAGUAACGGAGGCGCCCAAAGGUUCCCUCAGCGCGGCCGGAAAUCGCGCGAAGAGUGUAAAGGCAGAAGGGAGCUUGACUGCGAGUCAAACACGACGAGCAGGUACGAAAGUAGGGCUUAGUGAUCCGGUGGUACCGAGUGGAAGGGCCAUCGCUCAACGGAUAAAAGCUACCCUGGGGAUAACAGGCUAAUCUCUCCCAAGAGUCCAUAUCGACGGGGAGGUUUGGCACCUCGAUGUCGGCUCAUCACAUCCUGGGGCUGAAGUCGGUCCCAAGGGUUGGGCUGUUCGCCCAUUAAAGUGGUACGUGAGCUGGGUUCAGAACGUCGUGAGACAGUUCGGUCCCUAUCCAUCGCGGGCGCAAGAGAUUUGAAGGGGGCUGCUCCUAGUACGAGAGGACCGGAGUGGACGAACCGCUGGUGUACCAAUUAUCCCGCCAGGGGUACAGUUGGGUAGCUACGUUCGGAAAGGAUAAACGCUGAAAGCAUCUAAGCGUGAAACCAGCCUUAAGAUGAGAUCUCUCAUAGAGCAAUCUAGUAAGACACCUUAAAGAAGAUGAGGUUGAUAGGUCGGGAGUGUAAGUACAGCAAUGUAUUGAGCGGACCGAUACUAAUAUGUCGAGGGCUUGACUUA